rnacentral:misc_RNA from 1 species
GCAAGGAAUAAAGAAUCUUAAAAUGUUUUUCUACAACAUGAUUCACAUUCAAAAAAGGGCAAAAGUCAAUUUACUUUCAGUUAGACAAUGAAAACAUUACAUAAACUAGGUGGUAAAAAUGUUCUUGCACAAACUUUGAAGAUAUUCAGCACAAACCUAACAUUGCAAUUGACCACAUACAUCUUUAAGCAAUUAAAUUAAACAUUUAAAAU